CAACCUUGGUACAUCUUAAGGAAAUAUACAGAAUAUUUUAGUGAGAAAUUAAAAGCUGGCAGAGAGAAGUAGAGACAGAAAUCUAAUUUGCAUUUCAUGCUUUCUUGUUACCUAGGACUGCAUGCCCUUAUAACUUGAAGGGUAAUGGAUCCUUAUUCGCAUGGUGGGAUGUUCUGAUUCAUAUAUAUAUUUCACUGCAGCUUGAGACCCUUCAGCCUUUGUUCUUCAUCCAUGUAGUUAUUGUAGCCUUUGCCAGCUUUUCUGUAAUUGGGCAAAGGAACUUGGCCAGAUUCUAUCUGCCUAACAUCUUCAACCAGUAACUCAUAAUGAUUCUUCACCUCCUCCACGGUUUUGCCACCCACAGCCCUGGCUAGAUUGACCCAGCGGUCAGGCGUUUCCUUGUCAUAGAUAGCCAAAGCAUUCUCAAACAAUUUGUUUUGCUUGGGAGUCCAAGACGAUGAGCUUG
rnacentral:misc_RNA from 1 species